rnacentral:rRNA from 1 species
UGAAUACGAGAUGCUACGGCGUCGAAGCAGUGUAUGUCAUACUUCCAAGAAAAGCUUGCAAUGUCAUAAACAAAUAAUGCCUGUACCAUAACCGACACAGGUGGGUAGGUAGAGUAUACUAAGGGGCGCGAGAUAACUCUCUCUAAGGAACUCGGCAAAAUGACUCCGUAACUUCGGGAGAAGGAGUGCCUUAUUUAUAAGGUUGCAAUAACAAGAUCCAAGCAACUGUUUACCAAAAACACAGGUCUCCGCUAAGACGUAAGACGAUGUAUGGGGGCUGACGCCUGCCCAGUGCCAGAAGGUUAAAGAAGUUGGUUAGCAUUAGCGAAGCUGAUGACUGAAGCCCUGGUGAACGGCGGCCGUAACGAUAACGGUCCUAAGGUAGCGAAAUUCCUUGUCGGGUAAGUUCCGACCCGCACGAAAGGCGUAAUGAUUUGGAUACUGUCUCGGAGAGGGGCUCGGUGAAAUAGACUUGUCUGUGAAGAUGCGGACUACCUGCACCUGGACAGAAAGACCCUAUGAAGCUUUACUGUAACUUGAGAUUGAAAUUGGACUUUAUUUGCGCAGUAUAGGUGGGAGGCGUUGAAAAAAUUCUUGCGGGAAUUUUGGAGCCAUCAGUGAGAUACCACUCCUAUAAUGUUAGAUUUCUAACUUUGUAUCAUUAUCUGGUCAAAGAACAGUUUCAGGCGGGCAGUUUGACUGGGGCGGUCGCCUCCUAAACGGUAACGGAGGCGUACAAAGGUUUCCUCUGAACGGGUAGAAAUCGUAUCUAGAGUAUAAAGGCAUAAGGAAGCUUGACUGUGAGACCUACAAGUCGAGCAGGGACGAAAGUCGGUCUUAGUGAUCUGACGGUGCUGAGUGGAAAGGCCGUCACUCAACGGAUAAAAGUUACUCUAGGAUAACAGGCUGAUCUCCCCCAAGAGUUCACAUCGACGGGGAGGUUUGGCACCUCGAUGUCGGCUCAUCGCAUCCUGGGGCGGUAGUACGUCCCAAGGGUUGGGCUGUUCGCCCAUGAAGGCGGUACGCGAGCUGGGUUCAGAACGUCGUGAGACAGUUCGGUCCAUAUCCGGUGUAGGCGUUAGAAUAUUGAGAGGAGCCUUCUUUAGUACGAGAGGACCGAGAAGGACAUACCUCUGGUGUACCAGUUAUCGUGCCAACGGUAAACGCUGGGUAGCUAUGUAUGGAGUGGAUAACCGCUGAAAGCAUCUAAGUGGGAAGCCCACCUUAAGAUAAGUAUUCUCAUGAA